rnacentral:rRNA from 1 species
GACGAACGCUGGCGGCGUGCUUAACACAUGCAAGUCGAACGGAAAGGCCCUGCUUCUGUCGGGUGCUCGAGCGGCGAACGGGUGAGUAACACAUGAGUAACCUGCCCUCGACUUUGGGAUAACUUCUGCAAACUGGGGCUAAUACCGGAUAGUAGCUCCUCCUGCCUGGUGAGGGUUGGCAAGUUUCGGCGGUUGGGGAUGGACGCGCGGGUUAUCAGCUUGUUGGUGGGGUAGUGCUUUACCACGGCAUUGACGGGUAUCCGACCUGAGAGGGGGUCCGCCCCCAUGGGGCCUAAGGUACGGCGCAGAGGCGAACGGGGGGCAGUGGGGGGAAGUAUGGCACAGUGGUGGGAAGCGUAUGACGGAAACCCCGGGGGCGGAAUGACGGCCUUGGGGUUGGAAACCGCGUACGCCUGAGACGAAGGGUGAUUGACGUUAAUGGGUAAAGAAGCACCGGCUAACUACGUG